rnacentral:rRNA from 1 species
UGAGAGCGGCGGACGGGUGAGUAAUGCCUAGGAAUCUGCCUGGUAGUGGGGGAUAACGUCCGGAAACGGACGCUAAUACCGCAUACGUCCUACGGGAGAAAGCAGGGGACCUUCGGGCCUUGCGCUAUCAGAUGAGCCUAGGUCGGAUUAGCUAGUUGGUGAGGUAAUGGCUCACCAAGGCGACGAUCCGUAACUGGUCUGAGAGGAUGAUCAGUCACACUGGAACUGAGACACGGUCCAGACUCCUACGGGAGGCAGCAGUGGGGAAUAUUGGACAAUGGGCGAAAGCCUGAUCCAGCCAUGCCGCGUGUGUGAAGAAGGUCUUCGGAUUGUAAAGCACUUUAAGUUGGGAGGAAGGGCAGUUGCCUAAUACGUAACUGUUUUGACGUUACCGACAGAAUAAGCACCGGCUAACUCUGUGCCAGCAGCCGCGGUAAUACAGAGGGUGCAAGCGUUAAUCGGAAUUACUGGGCGUAAAGCGCGCGUAGGUGGUUUGUUAAGUUGGAUGUGAAAUCCCCGGGCUCAACCUGGGAACUGCAUUCAAAACUGACUGACUAGAGUAUGGUAGAGGGUGGUGGAAUUUCCUGUGUAGCGGUGAAAUGCGUAGAUAUAGGAAGGAACACCAGUGGCGAAGGCGACCACCUGGACUGAUACUGACACUGAGGUGCGAAAGCGUGGGGAGCAAACAGGAUUAGAUACCCUGGUAGUCCACGCCGUAAACGAUGUCAACUAGCCGUUGGAAGCCUUGA